rfam:Lactobacillus reuteri DSM 20016, complete genome.
AUAAAAUCGUUGAAGAGAAUUGGAAUAAUUAUCGUAACAUUAAAGCGAGUCAACAAUUGGUGAGAGGUUGAUAAUGUUUAACUAUUCCUGAUCAUCUCGGAGUACCUCAUUUGAGUUAGUUAGAAUGAGGCGGUUCAUUAUCGUUAUCUAAUGACAUGAGGAAACUUUAAUCUUAAGGUUUUAAAUCCGGGUGGUACCGCGAAGAAGCUUCGUCCCAGUA